rnacentral:rRNA from 1 species
AGAGUUUGAUCCUGGCUCAGAUUGAACGCUGGCGGCAGGCCUAACACAUGCAAGUCGAGCGGAUGAAGGGAGCUUGCUCCUGGAUUCAGCGGCGGACGGGUGAGUAAUGCCUAGGAAUCUGCCUGGUAGUGGGGGAUAACGUCCGGAAACGGGCGCUAAUACCGCAUACGUCCUGAGGGAGAAAGUGGGGGAUCUUCGGACCUCACGCUAUCAGAUGAGCCUAGGUCGGAUUAGCUAGUUGGUGGGGUAAAGGCCUACCAAGGCGACGAUCCGUAACUGGUCUGAGAGGAUGAUCAGUCACACUGGAACUGAGACACGGUCCAGACUCCUACGGGAGGCAGCAGUGGGGAAUAUUGGACAAUGGGCGAAAGCCUGAUCCAGCCAUGCCGCGUGUGUGAAGAAGGUCUUCGGAUUGUAAAGCACUUUAAGUUGGGAGGAAGGGCAGUAAGUUAAUACCUUGCUGUUUUGACGUUACCAACAGAAUAAGCACCGGCUAACUUCGUGCCAGCAGCCGCGGUAAUACGAAGGGUGCAAGCGUUAAUCGGAAUUACUGGGCGUAAAGCGCGCGUAGGUGGUUCAGCAAGUUGGAUGUGAAAUCCCCGGGCUCAACCUGGGAACUGCAUCCAAAACUACUGAGCUAGAGUACGGUAGAGGGUGGUGGAAUUUCCUGUGUAGCGGUGAAAUGCGUAGAUAUAGGAAGGAACACCAGUGGCGAAGGCGACCACCUGGACUGAUACUGACACUGAGGUGCGAAAGCGUGGGGAGCAAACAGGAUUAGAUACCCUGGGUAGUCCACGCCGUAAACGAUGUCGACUAGCCGUUGGGAUCCUUGAGAUCUUAGUGGCGCAGCUAACGCGAUAAGUCGACCGCCUGGGGAGUACGGCCGCAAGGUUAAAACUCAAAUGAAUUGACGG